rnacentral:rRNA from 2 species
UCAACAACGGAUCUCUUGGUUCUGGCAUCGAUGAAGAACGCAGCGAAAUGCGAUAAGUAAUGUGAAUUGCAGAAUUCAGUGAAUCAUCGAAUCUUUGAACGCACAUUGCGCCCGCCAGUAUUCUGGCGGGCAUGCCUGUUCGAGCGUCAUUUCAACCAU